rnacentral:piRNA from 1 species
UGCAGAAAUCCACAGCCAAAGAUUGGAUGG